rnacentral:rRNA from 1 species
AUCUACCUUUUCGUGGGGGAUAACGUAGGGAAACUUACGCUAAUACCGCAUACGACCUUCGGGUGAAAGCAGGGGACCUUCGGGCCUUGCGCGGAUAGAUGAGCCGAUGUCGGAUUAGCUAGUUGGCGGGGUAAAGGCCCACCAAGGCGACGAUCCGUAGCUGGUCUGAGAGGAUGAUCAGCCACACUGGAACUGAGACACGGUCCAGACUCCUACGGGAGGCAGCAGUGGGGAAUAUUGGACAAUGGGCGCAAGCCUGAUCCAGCCAUACCGCGUGGGUGAAGAAGGCCUUCGGGUUGUAAAGCCCUUUUGUUGGGAAAGAAAAGCAAUCGAUUAAUACUCGGUUGUUCUGACGGUACCCAAAGAAUAAGCACCGGCUAACUUCGUGCC